rnacentral:rRNA from 1 species
UGAGGAAUAUUGGUCAAUGGACGAGAGUCUGAACCAGCCAAGUAGCGUGAAGGAUGACUGCCCUAUGGGUUGUAAACUUCUUUUAUACGGGAAUAAAGUGAGGCACGUGUGCCUUUUUGUAUGUACCGUAUGAAUAAGGAUCGGCUAACUCCGUGCCAGCAGCCGCGGUAAUACGGAGGAUCCGAGCGUUAUCCGGAUUUAUUGGGUUUAAAGGGAGCGUAGGCGGACGCUUAAGUCAGUUGUGAAAGUUUGCGGCUCAACCGUAAAAUUGCAGUUGAUACUGGGUGUCUUGAGUACAGUAGAGGCAGGCGGAAUUCGUGGUGUAGCGGUGAAAUGCUUAGAUAUCACGAAGAACUCCGAUUGCGAAGGCAGCUUGCUGGACUGUAACUGACGCUGAUGCUCGAAAGUGUGGGUAUCAAACAGGAUUAGAUACCCUGGUAGUCCACACAGUAAACGAUGAAUACUCGCUGUUUGCGAUAUACAGUAAGCGGCCAAGCGAAAGCGUUAAGUAUUCCACCUGGGGAGUACGCCGGCAACGGUGAAACUCAAAGGAAUUGACGGGGGUCCGCACAAGCGGAGGAACAUGUGGUUUAAUUCGAUGAUACGCGAGGAACCUUACCCGGGCUUGAAUUGCAACUGAAUGAUGUGGAGACAUGUCAGCCGCAAGGCAGUUGUGAAGGUGCUGCAUGGUUGUCGUCAGCUCGUGCCGUGAGGUGUCGGCUUAAGUGCCAUAACGAGCGCAACCCUUAUCGAUAGUUACCAUCAGGUUAUGCUGGGGACUCUGUCGAGACUGCCGUCGUAAGAUGUGAGGAAGGUGGGGAUGACGUCAAAUCAGCACGGCCCUUACGUCCGGGGCUACACACGUGUUACAAUGGGGGGUACAGAAGGCAGCUACACGGCGACGUGAUGCUAAUCCCUAAAGCCUCUCUCAGUUCGGAUUGGAGUCUGCAACCCGACUCCAUGAAGCUGGAUUCGCUAGUAAUCGCGCAUCAGCCACGGCGCGGUGAAUACGUUCCC